rnacentral:tRNA from 2 species
GGGCCACUAGCUCAGGCGGUAGAGCACCGGACUUUUAAUCCGGGUGUCGCGGGUUCGAGUCCCGCGUGGCUCACCA